rnacentral:rRNA from 1 species
CCUACGGGUGGCAGCAGUGGGGAAUAUUGCACAAUGGGCGCAAGCCUGAUGCAGCCAUGCCGCGUGUGUGAAGAAGGCCUUCGGGUUGUAAAGCACUUUCAGCGGGGAGGAAGGCGUUAAGGUUAAUAACCUUGGCGAUUGACGUUACCCGCAGAAGAAGCACCGGCUAACUCCGUGCCAGCAGCCGCGGUAAUACGGAGGGUGCAAGCGUUAAUCGGAAUUACUGGGCGUAAAGCGCACGCAGGCGGUCUGUCAAGUCGGAUGUGAAAUCCCCGGGCUCAACCUGGGAACUGCAUUCGAAACUGGCAGGCUAGAGUCUUGUAGAGGGGGGUAGAGUUCCAGGUGUAGCGGUGAAAUGCGUAGAGAUCUGGAGGAAUACCGGUGGCGAAGGCGGCCCCCUGGACAAAGACUGACGCUCAGGUGCGAAAGCGUGGGGAGCAAACAGGAUUAGAUACCCGAGUAGUC